AGUGAUGCUUCUGAAAUGUAAAUUGCACCCCUGGGUUGAAACCCACCAAUGGGUUGCCUAUGCACGGAGAGUAAAGUCAUCAGAAGUCUUCACACAUGGCCUGCAGGGACCCCACAUCUGUCCCCCACAUCUGACCCCCCUUUUCUGUCUCCUCCCCUCCUACCUCUUCUCUGCCUCUUCUCCCCACUCCUCACUUAGCUUCCGCUCAGUUACCCACCUUUUCUUCCUUAGAAACUCCACACUCAUUGGCCGGGCGUGGUGGCCCACCCUUGUAAUCCCAGCAACUCAAGAGGCUGAGGCAGGAGGAUCACAAGUUCAAAGCCAGCCACAACUUAGCAAGACCCUGCCUCAAAAUAAAAAGUGAAAAGAACUGGGGAUGCGCUCAGUGGUUAAAUAUCCCUGGAUUCAAUCCCCGGUGCAAAAAAAAAAAAAAAGAAAAGAAACACCAAGCUUGUCCUUCCUCAGGGCCUUUGUCCCUGCUGUCCCCCAACACAGAGUAGUCACCGUCUUCUUACGUGGAUGGACUGAUAGGCAACUGAGUGUUCUCUGAACUUCGAAUUUCUUCAGACUAAGUGGAUAUAUGGAAGAUCAUGAUGCUUCAAGAUUUGAUGCUUCAUCCAAUGCUCUGAGUGACCCGAGGCUUCAGCCCAGAUUAAGACACUCGAUAUUAUUUUAAGGACAGAUAGUGAUGAGGGAGAGGAGACAACUUUGGGAAGAUUGUGGGUAUUGAUAUUUUUGGUCCUCAAAUGACACCUCUUGAGCCUGCACAAAAUGUUAGUCCUGACGGGCAGUGACAACCCUCCUCACCACUUGAAUGAAAAUGAGAUGGAAAUACAGGAAGGAGGGGAUGGGAAUGCGAGGCAAACAGGAAACCCGGGGUUAUUUUUUUACCGUAAAUUAGCCAAACUCCCACACCUGUGCUGAGCACUUCCUCUGCUGGGUGUCGGGAGGUGCAGCAAGAAAGCAGCCCCGGGCCCUCCCUUUCUCCAAGAAGCUCAUGGUCACCCUGCUGGACACUGGGUUGGAAAGAUCGCAGAGGGGCACAGCAAGGCACAGAAAAACCAUGCUUCAUCCUCCACCCGGGAUUCCUCAAGGGUCAUCUUAAAACUCUAACAGGGAACCGUGUCACUCUUCAGCGGUGGCCACACUGGGAAGGAAAAGGCAGCCCUUGCUGCGAAUCGAACCUGAGUCACAGGGCAAAACCUCUCUGACAUGAAAUGAUGGGGGAGAGGACCACAGGACCACACCACCGGGCGUGCUGCGUGUUCCUGAGCCUGGCACGGGCCGGCUGGCAAAGCUGCGGAUGAUCACUUUGCUCUCGAGUCCCUCCGUGAACUUUCUUUAUCCAAUGGAGACUCUUCUUGGGAGAUGUUGAAAAGUGAAUACCUGCUCAAAUCCAGACUGCGUUUUUAGCUUCAUUUAAAUCACUAUCAUUAUGCCCUGUCUUCCAUAAUGAUGUACCUGGGUAGGCCAAAAUGCCUCACAGGUGCUGGCCUUUAAUGAGGAUCUUGGUCCCAGAGAUGUAAUUUGACCAGUCUGCCGGGAAGCUCUCCCCAGCCCAGCCGGCCCCGCCCC
rnacentral:lncRNA from 1 species